CACACUAUCAUUAACUGAAUCCAUAGGUUAAUGAGGCGAACCGGGGGAACUGAAACAUCUAAGUACCCCGAGGAAAAGAAAUCAACCGAGAUUCCCCCAGUAGCGGCGAGCGAACGGGGAGGAGCCCAGAGCCUGAAUCAGUGUGUGUGUUAGUGGAAGCGUCUGGAAAGGCGCGCGAUACAGGGUGACAGCCCCGUACACAAAAAUGCACAUAUUGUGAGCUCGAUGAGUAGGGCGGGACACGUGGUAUCCUGUCUGAAUAUGGGGGGACCAUCCUCCAAGGCUAAAUACUCCUGACUGACCGAUAGUGAACCAGUACCGUGAGGGAAAGGCGAAAAGAACCCCGGCGAGGGGAGUGAAAAAGAACCUGAAACCGUGUACGUACAAGCAGUGGGAGCCUCUUAAUGGGGUGACUGCGUACCUUUUGUAUAAUGGGUCAGCGACUUAUAUUCUGUAGCAAGGUUAACCGAAUAGGGGAGCCGAAGGGAAACCGAGUCUUAACUGGGCGUUAAGUUGCAGGGUAUAGACCCGAAACCCGGUGAUCUAGCCAUGGGCAGGUUGAAGGUUGGGUAACACUAACUGGAGGACCGAACCGACUAAUGUUGAAAAAUUAGCGGAUGACUUGUGGCUGGGGGUGAAAGGCCAAUCAAACCGGGAGAUAGCUGGUUCNNUUAGGUAGCGCCUCGUGAAUUCAUCUCCGGGGGUAGAGCACUGUUUCGGCAAGGGGGUCAUCCCGACUUACCAACCCGAUGCAAACUGCGAAUACCGGAGAAUGUUAUCACGGGAGACACACGGCGGGUGCUAACGUCCGUCGUGAAGAGGGAAACAACCCAGACCGCCAGCUAAGGUCCCAAAGUCAUGGUUAAGUGGGAAACGAUGUGGGAAGGCCCAGACAGCCAGGAUGUUGGCUUAGAAGCAGCCAUCAUUUAAAGAAAGCGUAAUAGCUCACUGGUCGAGUCGGCCUGCGCGGAAGAUGUAACGGGGCUAAACCAUGCACCGAAGCUGCGGCAGCGACACUAUGUGUUGUUGGGUAGGGGAGCGUUCUGUAAGCCUGUGAAGGUG
rnacentral:rRNA from 1 species